AAGUCGCAACAAGGUUUCCGUAGGUGAACCUGCGGAAGGAUCAUUAAAAGAUAUAGUAUAUAUGUACUUAUGUAUGUGUAAAUCUAUAAACCACUUCUGUGUACCGAUUCCAUGUUGCUUUCGCAGGACGAUUACUUAAUUGUGGUCAGCUCCUAAGGCCUAACAAAUGUUCAUUAUGAGUUACACAUGUUAAAUAUAAAUAAACUUGUAUUUAUCAUGUUCAUUGAUGUACACUAAAUAGGUAGAUUGGGAGUGUUGUUUCCUGCGAGAGGCUAAUGCAAAAAAAACUUUUAUCUAUUACUGGUUAUGAUACUUUUAUAGUAUCAACGUCUGAAGCAAUUUGUUAAUAAACAAAAAUUUAAAACUUUCAACAACGGAUCUCUUGGUUCUC
rnacentral:misc_RNA from 1 species